AAGUCGUAACAAGGUUUCCGUAGGUGAACCUGCGGAAGGAUCAUUACCAAGUUUAAUCCAAAACUCUCAACCCAUGUGCACGAUGAUUCUUGUCUGUCUUUGGGGUGAAAUGCUUUUUGUGUUUUACCCCACAUGUUGUAAACAUCCUUUUAUUUUGUAUUGGCAUCAAUCUUGUUUUAAUAAUCAUUAGACAACUUUUAACGGUGGAUCUCUUGGCUCGUGGAUCGAU
rnacentral:misc_RNA from 1 species